CAGCACCUCAAGUGGUCAGGAUGAUUAUUGGGCCUAAAGCAUCCGUAGCCGGCGCUGUAAGUUUUCGGUUAAAUCUGUACGCUCAACGUACAGGCUGCCGGGAAUACUGCAGCGCUAGGGAGUGGGAGAGGUAGACGGUACUCGGUAGGAAGGGGUAAAAUCCUUUGAUCUAUUGAUGACCACCUGUGGCGAAGGCGGUCUACCAGAACGCGUCCGACGGUGAGGGAUGAAAGCUGGGGGAGCAAACCGGAUUAGAUACCCGCGUAGUCC
rnacentral:rRNA from 1 species